GGCAGACGGGUGAGUAAUGCAUAGGAAUCUACCUAGUAGUAUGGGAUAGCCACUAGAAAUGGUGGGUAAUACUGUAUAAUCCCUGCGGGGGAAAGAUUUAUCGCUAUUAGAUGAGCCUAUGUCAGAUUAGCUAGUUGGUGGGGUAAUGGCCUACCAAGGCGGUGAUCUGUAGCUGGUCUGAGAGGAUGAUCAGCCACACUGGAACUGAGACACGGUCCAGACUCCUACGGGAGGCAGCAGUGGGGAAUAUUGGACAAUGGGCGCAAGCCUGAUCCAGCUAUGCCGCGUGAGUGAGGAAGGCCUUAGGGUUGUAAAACUCUUUCAGUAGGGAAGAUAAUGACGGUACCUACAGAAGAAGUCCCGGCAAACUCCGUGCCAGCAGCCGCGGUAAUACGGAGGGGGCAA
rnacentral:rRNA from 1 species